GUCCUUACGCAGGAGGCCUCUAUCGAUGACGUUCACACGGAGAUAGAGAGAUUGCUAGGUUGGAAAUCCAAACCACUGCAAAUUCAAGUCUUAUGUCUUUCGUGGCAUGAGCCCCCUCUCAAGCUUUGGGAGGAUGCAAUUUUUGGAGUAGGCUUUUGAAGCCU
rnacentral:snRNA from 1 species